AAAUUUCCCAGCUGGCAUGACUGACAAUCUACCAAAUAAUUAGCAAACCGUAUGUUGCUUAUCUAACAAACCAGCUAUGUUACAACUAACAAGUGAUCUGAUCUAAUAUAUCUCCCUCACCUAUACAUGUAGUUCCAUAUUUCUAAAGUUACUAGCAUUCCCCAUACUUUAGUUUUUCGUCUUUAACAAACAAAACUAAUAACUUAAGACAACACUUCAAAAUAUGCACUUUUAUUAUAUUUUUGACAAGUCAAUAUAUACAAUACAAUUUUCCCAUACGUCUUCAGCACUAAUCCGCAUAGAGACUAAAGUCAUGUAACUCAAUGGAUUACAACUUUACCAUGAAAACAGACAACGUACCUACCUACUAGUGUGGCUUGCAAGAAGGCAAAUCAAUAUGCACAAGCAGGAAUGGCGAAGUGGUUGUCAGAAUGCUCUUGCCACCUGAGAUGUCAUAUACCUGUUUUUUUAGAUCAGGGAGUUGAAGCAAAAAAUUAUACAUGUGUAAAGUGCACAAAGUUUCUCAUGUUCUAUGAGCACACUGUCUCGUGAUGUUGUCUAUUUCUUACAAUUAGAUUCCCAACAUAAAAGGAUUGAUAUAAUAUAACUUAAUUAAAUCUCAGGACUUUUGAGUGUCAUAAAAAUGUACUAUUUGUUCAUUCAUAUUUCCAAUUUUUCAUUUGAUAAAUAACAGCUAAGAUAUGAUAGGCAUUUUAAUAAAUUAAACAAAAAACUGAUAGGUUCCACUAAUUAAAAGAAUUGUCAUAUACUUCAUGCAAAUGACAAGUUACAAACUGGCAGCAGCGGCACAUUAACUCAAACAAAUGGCAUCCUUAGCAUUCUUUAGUCAACAUAACUUCACACAAAAAAAUAACUGCCAGUGUUCAACUAUAUUAUAAUGAAAUGCAUAAGACCAGUAAAAGAGAACCUUAGGAUCAUUAAUCAAAUGUAUAACUUCAGUUCACAAAAGCCAAUGUCAAACUUUCACAUUCCCCCUUUGGAAUUACCUUUCUCGUCUGCAAAUCCCAACCAACCAUGCUAUGGGCAUUGAUCCCAGAAAUGCCUGAAUGAAUUCUUGCACCCAAAAUUCUAAACACCAAGGUCAAUUACCAAAAUCCAAAAUGGAACUGCAACUCCUUCAAUUCAUUCUGUUCCUUAUGAGAGAAACAUAAUACAGCCACAGGUCUGCUGCUGAACAAAUGUUAGACAGCAACACAUAAUUUGCCAGAAUUGAGAAAUUCAAGUUCAAAAAUUGGACUUGCGACCUUUUUUCCUAAUAUGCAACUUACACCCGAUGAUCCCUUGGCUGAUUUUCUGUGGCGUCGACCAUCCCCGUUAAACCCUACCAAUUGAUGACCCGAAUUUAUUAGCUUUGCAUUUCUAACUGAAGAAAUCAAAUUUAUUAUAAAUUUCAUUUCUUCAAUCAUUAAAGCAGGAAACCAAGACACCAGAUAUAAAUUCGGGAGAGGAGGGAAGGCGGUAGUUUGUUAAAUGGGUGGGGGAAUCCUUCAGAAAACCGGCCGGAUCCUCGGCUGUAUACCAUGACCUUGAGAGUAAUCAGGGAAGGACUAAGGGCAACCUUUUUGUAAGAUCAAUUACUUAUUUUAUUACAUUUU
rnacentral:lncRNA from 1 species